rnacentral:rRNA from 1 species
GAUGAACGCUGGCGGCGUGCCUAAUACAUGCAAGUCGAGCGAACGGACGAGAAGCUUGCUUCUCUGAUGUUAGCGGCGGACGGGUGAGUAACACGUGGAUAACCUACCUAUAAGACUGGGAUAACUUCGGGAAACCGGAGCUAAUACCGGAUAAUAUUUUGAACCGCAUGGUUCAAAAGUGAAAGACGGUCUUGCUGUCACUUAUAGAUGGAUCCGCGCUGCAUUAGCUAGUUGGUAAGGUAACGGCUUACCAAGGCAACGAUGCAUAGCCGACCUGAGAGGGUGAUCGGCCACACUGGAACUGGGACAGGGUCCAGAGUCCUACGGGAGGCAGCAGUAGGGAAUCUUCCGCAAUGGGCGAAAGCCUGACGGAGCAACGCCGCGUGAGUGAUGAAGGUCUUCGGAUCGUAAAACUCUGUUAUUAGGGAAGAACCUAUGUGUAAGUAACUGUGCACAUCUUGACGGUACCUAAUCAGAAAGCCACGGCUAACUACGUG